AGUAGUAUUGCUGGACCUUCUGGUAUGUCCAAUUUUCUGAGGAAUUGCCAAACUAAUUUCCAAAGUGGUUGUACCAGCUUGCAAUCCCACCAGCAAU
rnacentral:pre_miRNA from 1 species